rnacentral:rRNA from 1 species
GGAAUUGACGGGGGCCCGCACAAGCGGUGGAGCAUGUGGUUAAUUCGAUGAUACGCGAAGAACCUUACCGGGGUUGACAUGCAGGUGAUCGCCGUUGAAAGACGGUUUCCUCUUCGGAGGCACCUGCACAGGUGCUGCAUGGCUGUCGUCAGCUCGUGUCAUGAGAUGUUGGGCUAAGUCCCGCAACGAGCGCAACCCUUGUCAUUAGUUGCUACGAAAGGGCACUCUAAUGAGACUGCCGGUGACAAACCGGAGGAAGUGGGGAUGACGUCAAGUCCUCAUGGCCCUUAUAGGUGGGGCUACACACGUCAUACAAUGGCUGGUACAAAGGGUUGCCAACCCGCGAGGGGGAGCCAAUCCCAUAAAGCCAGUCGUAGUCCGGAUCGCAGUCUGCAACUCGACUGCGUGAAGUCGGAAUCGCUAGUAAUCGUGGAUCAGCAUGUCACGGUGAAUACGUUCCCGGGUCUU